rnacentral:rRNA from 1 species
GUGAAUCAUCGAGUCUUUGAACGCACCUUGCGCUCCUGGGUCUUCCUAGGAGCAUGCCUGUUUGAGUGUCCAGAACAUACAUCAACCCCAAAACAUUCGUGUUGAAAGGGUUGGAGUUGGAGGCCUGCCGUGUCACCACGGCUCCUCUCAAAUGUGUUAGCUGGCUGUUGCUGCGUCUCGCACGUUGGCUUGAUAUUUAUGUCUACGCCUCUAUGAGACCUUGCAUCCGGCCGCUCCUAACCGUCCCUCACCGGACAACAUCUUCUUGACCUCGGGCCUCAAAUCAGGUAGGACUACCCGCUGAACUUAAGCAUAUCAAUAAGCGGAGG